GGAGAUAUGAGCUAACAUUUGUGUAAAACAGCACAAUUUUCAUGGUGUUUUCACAUAUAUUUUUAUUUAAUCUUUACAACAACCAUCCAAGAAUCAGGAGAGAGAAACGACUUUCCACUAAGUCAGGAAUUGGCAGACACAGUACUUCGUCACAGGAUUUUUGAUUCCAGAUCCCAUGCUCCUCUUAUCACUGUUCACUUAGUAAGCAUUUAGCAUGUCCUUUGCUAUGUGGCCGUCACCAUGUAGUGCUGGUGCGUCAGUGAGCAAGACAGAUUACAGUCUCUGCUCUGUGGUAUUUAUGGCCUGGCAUAUAAAUAAUGACUGCCAGUUACUGAGCACUUUCUAUUGGGAAGGCACUGUGGUAGAUUGUAUUAUUGUUCAAAAUAUUUGUUGCCUCUGUCUGCCAGGGGCCUCUUUGUAGGAAGAUUAUAUUUCCCAUGCUGUUGACAUCAGUUUUGGACACUUGGCUUUCUUGACCAGUAAAAUGAUAGAGGAAGUGACAUGUCCCAUGUUUGAGCAGAUGUUUUAAAUUCCAUCUUGUGGUUCUGCCAGUGGCUGUUUUCCUUCUGACAUGGAACCAGCAUGCCUUAGCUAGGGCUGGCCCCAGAGUGAUGGAGCAGAAUUGAAGCCGAUCCAUGAUAGACAUUUAAUGUAAGUGAAACAUAAGCCCUUGCAUUGUUGGCACCAUGAUUUUGGAGUCGUUUGUUACCAUAGCAUAAUAUAGCUCAAACGGGGUGUGACACCGGCAUCAUUCAAGGUCCCUAUGAAGGUAGAUAAGACGUAGGUCUUGUCUUCAAGGAGCUGGCAGUCUUGGUGAAUGCAUUAAAUUUCCAGCAGGAAACCAGAGAUUUUUUGCUCUGAAGGCCUUCAACUGAUGGGAUGUGGCCCACCCACAUUAUCAAGGAUAUUGGGAUGAAUCAGACAGUCCUUCCCUCACUGUGGAAACAGACAAGUAAACAAACAGUUGCCAUAUGAAUUCAAUGCCAUGGUGAAGGCAGCUUAGUGUGUUGUGGGAGCACGGGAUGGGCGUUUCUGAAAUUGUACAGAUUUCCCCGGUGGCGUCCUGACUGACACCUUGGACUUCAGUGCUUUUCACACACUUUUGUUGCCUGGAAUUGACUGCUGUUUGAGCACCCUUCUCAGGUCCACACAGAGGAGUGUCUCCAACUCUGCUUCCCAGUCUUCAGCAUUUAUGGUUUCAUGUUUGUGAGGUUUGCUUGGAAUAGAAAUAGGAUGAUCUUAAUUCUAUUACUGUUCAUUCCUUCCAUCCUCUAGAUACUUUGUCGCACUUUCUUUCUUGUGAAACUUUAGAGGAAUUGGUAAUUCCGUUGUCUUACUUUUUCCUCUCAAGUAUCUCACUGGCCUUAUUCAGACUUCAAUUUUAAAUGGUUGUCCCCCCAUGUACUACUUCCUUCCAUUAAUUAGCUGAUAGUUGUUUUUUCCCUCUGUAUUUUUAAUGCCUUUUCUUUACUGUCUGGAACUCCCCUUCCCAGAAUAUAAAGCAAAUAACUUAGGUGCUAGGCUUUAUAAGACUAGAAUCAACUUAAAUAAACUAGAACCUUGGUAACCAGGAUCUUUCCCUAGAAUUUAUUUCCUUUCCUCCGCUUUUAAGGAAAAAAACAUUAUAUGGGAACAAAUAAAUACCAGAGAUUUAGCCAAAAAUUAAAAAAAUAAAAAGCAAAACCAUUCAGGAUUUGUCAGCAAACUAUUAACACCUGCUAUGUACGCUAUUAGAAACAAUGAAGAUUUUUACCUUAAAGUAAA